UGGUGGGUAGUUUGACUGGGGCGGUCUCCUCCCAAAGAGUAACGGAGGAGCACGAAGGUUGGCUAAUCCUGGUCGGACAUCAGGAGGUUAGUGCAAUGGCAUAAGCCAGCUUGACUGCGAGCGUGACGGCGCGAGCAGGUGCGAAAGCAGGUCAUAGUGAUCCGGUGGUUCUGAAUGGAAGGGCCAUCGCUCAACGGAUAAAAGGUACUCCGGGGAUAACAGGCUGAUACCGCCCAAGAGUUCAUAUCGACGGCGGUGUUUGGCACCUCGAUGUCGGCUCAUCACAUCCUGGGGCUGAAGUAGGUCCCAAGGGUAUGGCUGUUCGCCAUUUAAAGUGGUACGCGAGCUGGGUUUAGAACGUCGUGAGACAGUUCGGUCCCUAUCUGCCGUGGGCGCUGGAGAAUUGAGGGGGGCUGCUCCUAGUACGAGAGGACCGGAGUGGACGCAUCACUGGUGUUCGGGUUGUCAUGCCAAUGGCAUUGCCCGGUAGCUACAUGCGGAAGAGAUAAGUGCUGAAAGCAUCUAAGCACGAAACUUGCCCCGAGAUGAGUUCUCCCUUGUCCUUUAAGGACACUAGAGGAACGUUGAAGACGACGACGUUGAUAGGCCGGGUGUGUAAGCGCAGCGAUGCGUUGAGCUAACCGGUACUAAUGAACCGUGAGGCUUAACCUUACAACGCCGAAG
rnacentral:rRNA from 1 species